rnacentral:piRNA from 1 species
UGACCGAUUACUGAGAGAUGCUAAAUU